ACUUCCUAAGCCGGAACGAAAAGCCUCUUUGUAGCAAUACAUUGAUACUUUUGGCUUUGUGGUUGUGAUGUUGUGUUUGCAAGUUGUCUGGGAUUACCAGACCUUGUAGCUUAGGCUACUAUUUUUUCACUUCCUGUACAUUUACCCUGUCUGUCCAUAGUGAUUUUUUAAUGCACCGCAAUUGCGGUGCUUUUUUUC
rnacentral:other from 1 species